AGAAUUGCUUCAAUAUUCGAAGGCAUUCUUGACAGGCUGUCUGCAUCAAAGCUUUUUUCUUCCAGGGCCACAUUUAACUGUGAAGUGUAAAUCUGCCAAUUCUUAUUAUCGCUAUAGACUAAAUUACAUGGCAAACAAAGAGCACUUUGUGAUGCAAAUGAUUGUUUUUAUUUGCUGAUAAUGAAGAGAUUUAAACAGUCAAAACAAAAGUUACCAAAUCAUUAUUUGACAAAUGAUCUCUGGAAGUCCUGUCUGCCCCUGAAGCCCACCAGGAAGGGACAGCACUGUUUGUCCUGACUCUGGUAAAGAGAAUGAGAUGACUUACAAAGCAUACAAAGUAUGUCCACCUUCAGUUUAUUAUUGUGAGUAAAAAACUAUUCUCUCAACAUGUAGUUGCUACAUGAUCAUUAUUUCCCUGAACCGUUUCAGCAGCAUAACCAAGGGUGUGUUGUUGUUCUGCUGACCUUCAUACACAACCAGCAGUGGAGGAAAUGCAAAACAACCCGCUCAACUGGCUCUCUGCUAUCCAGUGGUUGAAUCUGUCACAGGUGCAGAUGGAAGGACCCAGUCGCAGGCAGCCAGGUGGAGUUCAAAACUCAUUUAUUUGCAGGAAUACGGAACACUGAGCUGAGCCAACAUGCAGGCAGGGACACAGAAGCAUGCAGACAGACCCACAAGGAGCCGACAAGACACACCAGGGGAGCAGGACUAAAAUAGGGCAGACACAGGUGUGGCACAUUAAGUCGUAACGAGGCAGGUGGCUUGGCAGGAGAAUAUGAGGGCAGACAAACACAAAACAGGACCCGAGUGCCCCCACAUGACUGCAGGAGCACAGGGCCUGACAGUAACCCCCUCCCAAUGUGUGCCUCCUGGCGCACAACGUGGUAAGCAUCCCAGGCGCCACCGCCCAGGUGGAGGAGGGGGACAUCCCAAGGACUACAGUCGAAAGUCUGCAAGAGAAAAUAAGCAACAGGGCGGUGUCAUCUUCUAAGGACAAUUCUGCGUUGCAUUAAUGUCUGACUUUGUGAAGGAACAGAAGCUGAAGAACUGUUGGUUGUGUCAAAACAUGCCACAAUCUAUACAUUCACCUAUGUUUUCCCCUGUUCCAUUGAGCAAGGCUCAAUACAAGUCACUGGACUGGAAUGAUGUGGCUGUUAGAGUUGAAUCGAGCUUUGACAUUUGCUUGUUUCCUACCCACUCAGUGGUGGUUAACAAGGAUGUGAAAUAUGCAAACGUUGCGGAGCUGGUUACAAAUGAGGUCAAUAUCAAAUAUCUGUAUAGUCAUACUUACCUGUGAUUUAUACUUAUCUUUAAUUACUUACCUGUCCAGUAAGAAUAUCUUUGUUUCUUGUUUUUAGUUUCACUCUGAUUCACGCUGCCAUCACAACCCUGUGUGAAAAGUGAAGUAAAGGAGCAAGUACACUCUAUCCUGGCUCAGAAAAAGAGUUUGGCUUGGUGUUUAUCUAUGUUCACACCUUGGACGGUCCAACACAUAGAGAGAACAGUACACUUUGUCCCCAAGGUUUCAGGAACACAGUGACAUGUGCAAGGCUGCCCUGUUUGUCUGCACUUGUUAUUCUCGCGUAAGAUAUAACCUGGCAUCGCCGGAAGUCAAGCCAGAACUGGGUUGAAUCCUCCACGGAGCAGCAGCCUCGUUCUCAAUCAGCUGAUCUGUGUUUAUCUCCUCUGCAGUCCUGAAUAAACUCUCCCUGUGCAAGCAUCAACACCUUGGCUCGUCAUCUUUGGCUUUGUAUCACCAAAAACUCCACAACAGACGGGACGGAUGUGAGAACGGAGGACAGAACUGCACCUAGCAGACAGAAACAGGAACAGGGGACAAAGCUGUACCUAGCAGGCAGAAACAGAAACGGGGGACAGAACUGCACUCAGCAGAAACAGGAACGGGGACAGAAUUUCCUCCCUCCCCAGAGGCCAUCCAGGAGCGGAGAAGUUGGGGAAACGGUCUCCAGAUGAUCCGGGGGCGAGCUUCGCCAGCGGGGGCCAGGGGCAGACGAUUCGGUGGAGCACCGCCACCGUAGGGCUUAUGUGGGAAGCACACUGCUUCAGAACCUCACUGUCCGCUGGGUCCAGUGAUGGUCUGCUCCUUCUGUCACGGGUGGAGGUGGAAGGACUCAGUCGCAGGCAGCCAGGUGGAGUUCAAAACUCAUUUAUUUGCAGGAAACAGGAACGCAGGAAUACGGAAACGCAGGAAUAUGGGAACGCUGAGCUGAACCGACAUGCAGGCAAGGGCACAGAAGCACGCAGACAGACCCACAAGGAGCCGACAAGACAUACCAGGGGAGCAGGACUAAAAUAGGGGCAGAAAUGGGUGUUGCACAUUAGGUGGUUAGGAGGCAGGUGGCUUUGCAGGAGAACAUUAGGGCAGACAAACACAUAACAGGACCCGAGCGCUGCCACAUGGCCGCAGGGUCACAGGGCAUGAUAGAAUCAGAGAAGAAAUGAUACAUUUACUUUGUGCCUUUAAAGGGGCAUUAUGGAAGCUUUUCAGGUUAGAUAACCUGCACAUUCAGGUUUAAUUCAUUGUGGUGGUGUUUUGAAUUACAUAAUUUGUUUGAUUGUUCGUUCGUUUUCCAUCUAUGUUUUCCCCACAGGAACAAAGUAUCUUCCCUGAAAUGUGCCACAAAUAAUAAAAAUGAAAGUUUGAAGGAGCAGCAGUUUCCUCCUAGUAUAUUGAGCAUCUUGGGAAGGAAGGGGCCUCAACACUGGAUGGUUUGUUAUGACUUGUUUAACUUACAGAACAAAUGCUGUUUUGCUUUUCCUGAAAGAUACAGUUUUGUUUUGUUGCCUGAAAGAGGGACAACUGAACAGCAAAAAGUUCUCCAGAGCCUUAUUGAACAGGUUUGAAAGAUAAUCAUGGAUCGUUGACUUGGCUCAGAUCAAUCUCUGUUCCUGAUGGCUCCAUCAUAGGUUGUAGAUGCAGAGGACUGACAGGUGUCGAAGAAAUCCCGAGGAAAAUUGGCCAAUUUAAUGUUCAGUAUUGUUUCUUGGGAUCAAGAGAAAGUACUUGAUCGGCAAUACCACUCCUCUUUGCUUUCAGCACUGAUUGUUCUGACUUUGGUGAGGGGUUCAUAAAUUGGGUUGGUUUAUAGAAUAAUGGUGAGCAGUGCUUGGUUCAAAUUGACGCCAGUUUGAGUUGAUGAUAGUCCAGUCAUCAGGCCUCUGCAGUGCAGGUUGAAGGUUUUGGAAUAACGGUCUCUCUUUUCCAGAGUCAGAAACAACUUCUCCAACCAUUUGGGUUGAUGCAGACAUGUCAAUAUCUUCAUUAAAUUUCAAAAUGAUUUUCACCGAUUGUGGGUAACACUUUCAACUUAUGAUAAAAAAAAAAGCAUCAGCAUGGCUGAGCUGGACAACAAGUGACACUUCAUUGAUUGGACAGUGGCAAGAUAAAACAGUGAUGUCCUUGAGUGGUUCACUCAAUGUCCACUCCAUGAAGGGGACAUGACAUGUGAAAUGGAAUAAUGCUUUGUUUUUACAUUUUCAGGAACACAGUGCGAAGGCCCCCCUGUUUUGUCUGAAGUCACUUGGUAUCAGGAGUGUUCUCCUGAGAACCAACAUCUGCUAUUCUCGUGAGAUUUGUCUAUAUGACCUGGCAUUGCUGGAAGUUAUGCCAGAGCAGAGUUGGGUUUUCCUCGAAGCAUUAGCCUUGCUCUCAAUCAGCUGAUUUGUGUGUGCAUCCUCUGCUAUCGUGAAUAAAUCCUCCGUGUGCAAGUGUCAACACCUUAACUCAUCUUUGUCAUCUUUGGCUGUGUAUCACCAAAAAUUCCACAACAACUGGUCUGACUCCAUUGUACACUUCUGUCCUCCAGGUCUGGCAGGUUUGUCUUGCAAAACAUGCAACUGCGGGGACACUCGUCAGGUGGAUGUUGAAAGAACCUUAGAUUUCAGCAGCUUUCUUCAGACUCCAGUACUGCCGUCUACGAGCCUGAGGAAGGAAGGAGUCACCAAACUGGACCAUCUACUCAACCUGGAGGACACACCUUUGGAAAGCCCGAGGCAGAUGGGGAAUUCUCUUCUGUCACAUAGGCAGAGUUGACAAACCUGCCCCUACUGUGGAGAGUGUGACCAAUAAUCAGACAGUGUGACAGAAGGAGCAGACCAAUCCUCUAAGUCAGUGGUCCUAAAACCAGUCCAGAAUUAACCGCUGUGGCUGCUGGUUUUUGUUCCAACCAAGCAAGAGCACACGACACUCCACCUAUUUCACCAAGUCUACAGGCGGACUCACAGGUGGAAAUGGGUGGAGUCUUAUGUGCUCCUGUUUGGUUGGAAUCUAACCAAACAGGAGCGCAUAAGACUCCACCUGUGGAGUGAGUCCACCUGUAGACUCAUUCUGGACUGGUUUGAGAACCACUCCUCAAACUGAUUAGCUCUGCAACAGUAUAUAUAUCCAGAGAUCUUGGUCAAACAACAGUUCCAGUGUUGAGUGCAGGAAGUUGAGACAUGGCUGGACAUCUGCCUGCAGUCUGUGCAUUGAUCCUGAUUCUGGGUGCACUUGGGUGCUCAGAUGCAAAGUCAAUUAAAAGGAAUAGAGAUCACGCUGGUGUUUGCCCUCCUCCAGCCUAUGCGAACAUGUGUGACGAUGUUAUUUUUCCCGAUUGCCCCAAAGAUAGUCACUGCCGCACACAUGAGAAAUGCUGCGACAAUGGAUGUGGGCAUGAGUGCGUUUCAGCGAUCGUCGUCCGGAGAGGUUGAUAUCUGUCAGAGGAAGCUUGAGGUGAAAAAGGUUGAGAAGAAAAGAAAUUCAGCAAGACAACUGGCUGCUGUUUCUGCAGUGAGCCCUGCUGAUUCCAUCCAUCCAUCCAUUUUCUAUGCCGUUUACUCCUUUUCAGGGUUGCAGGUGGCUGGAGCUGAUCCCAGCUGCUGCGGGCGAGGGCGGGGUCCACCCUGGACAGGUCGCCAGUCUGUCGCAGGCCUAACAUAUACAGACAUACAACCAUUCACAUUCACACCUAAGGGCAAUUCAGGGUGACCAAUUAAUCUGACAUGCAUGUUUUUGGACCGUGGGAAGCCAGAGAACCCGGAGGGAACCCACGCACAGAGCAUGCAAACUCCAAACAGAAAGGCCCCGGUGCUUGAACCCAGGACAUUCUUGCUGUGCGGCAAGAGCACUAAGCACUGAACCGCCUGCUGAUCCAACAAUCUUCAACCACACUGAAUUCUGCAUCCUUGGGUGUACUUUCUGGGUUUCUUGAAAUUGAGAAGAUUUACAGAUGAAAAAAAAAAAAUAAAAAAUAGGGGGCAAAGCCAUAUUCCAUGACAUCUUUCAAAUUGAUCAACGAUUUGUGCACUUCGGCACA